UAUAGAGCCCAACUCUCUCUCUCUCUUAAUUUUUUCUACUGAAACACUUUCCGUCAUCAACAUUUCCACAACUAAGUUCAUCAUCUUUGACACCCAUCUCCAACUAUAAAAAGCUCUACAACAAAUUAACUGAGUUUUGAAAAUGACACAAGAUCGAUCCAUGGUCGAAACCCAAUAAGAAAAAUCGAACCCAGAAAACUUACCUUUAAAACCCAGAAAACAAAAUCGAGUGUGAGUGUCUUUUAAUUUUUCAGUGUGUGUAUGUGUGUAUUGAACCCAUAUCAACUGUGGGGUCAACAUCAGCUUUCGACUUAGCUUCUACCAUUGCAAUCCUCAUGGUAUGUCGCUCCCUUUCUCGUUGAAACCCACCUCCGACACCACUAGGUUUCAUUUCUUGGUCAAACAUUUCAUCGAAUUGCACGAGUUGAGGGGCGUAGGGGCACGACCGGCCCUAUUGGAUUUCAACCGGUGCUUAAGAACAGAGCCCACCAAAACAUAAGGGGCCAAAUAGAAGAUGCCGAUGCACACAACGAAUCAAAUCAAAAAAUCGAGGGGGAAAAACGAUUCUUGAACGCAUGCCUACUAUUGAAGGGUCUACAAUCAUCGACAAAUGUUUUUUUGAAGGACUUAGAAUAAAAAGAUUUGUAGUAUCAGAAGUUCUUAAAAACAUGUUUUAGUUUUAUUAUUUCAAUUGUACUUUUCAUGUUUUUACAGGUUUUAAAUAGAAGCAAGUUUUUAUGUGUAUUAUUUUGAAUGGUACUUGAACUUAUGUAUAUUGCAAUUAAAAUGAAAAAGUAUAACUUCUAGAGGCCAACCUGUAUACGAAAUUAAUGACUAAUUUCAUAUGCUUAAGACUUGAGAAACUAAAUGGUCAAAGCAUUGGUGGUGUCCAAAAACUCCUUUAUUGAAAUAUCAAAUGAACUGUUGGAUCCUUACAUCAAAUAUGAAUAAACAUGUGUUAAGAAAGUUAAAUAAAAUUAGCAUGCAACCCUUUGAUCUUCAAAAUUUUGGGGCCUAUUUUUUACUAAACUGUACAGGGCCUUCAAAAUCAUCGGGUCGUCCCAGUGUAGGGGAAGUGGCUUCGUCUAACUCAUUAUUUCCGUCAACCUGAAGUUGUAAAAGGAUAACAUGACGAUAAACUUCAGUGAGGUCCAAUUUGUUUUUGACGGCUGUAGGAUGAGUGAAAGGUGUCCUGGUAAAAGAUCCAUCUCCAAGACAUACAUCUGCAAAACUUGUGUUAAGAACAAACUCAACAUAUGAACACACAUACAUACACACACAUCCCCUCGACCUCAAGCGUCUUUCCCUCUCUCGAUCUUGAUCUUGAUUUCUCACUUUCUCUUCACAAUCAAUAAUCGCCACCUACCUUCUUGUCAUCCUUACCAGUGAAACAAAUCUACGAAGGGGUAGGGGCGUAGGAAUAAUCUAGAUCUACCUUCAAAAACUCGAAUUUUGAGUCCAUUUCUCCCUCUUGUCUUCCUUAUGGUUUUGAGUUCAGGUGGAGGAUAACAAUGAUGACAAUGGUUCAUUUCAAAUUGAGUUCAUAUUUUUUUAUGGGUUGUAGGGGAGGAAUACACAGGGGAAGGGAAAGAGAAAUCAAAGAAAGGGAAAACAAGAAAUAGAAAUGAAAGAAAGGAGAACGAAGAAAUGGAGGCCUAUUUUUUCUUCUUUUUUUCUAAUUUUUUUUAAUUAUUAAUAUAUAUAUAUAUAUAUAUAUAUAUAUAUAUAUAUAUAUAUAUAUAUAUAGAGAGAGAGAGAGAGAGAGAGAGAGAGAGAGAGAGAGAGACCCUUUCUUAUUUUUUUCUAAUUUUUUUAAUUAUUAAUAGAGAGAAGAGAUUGUUCAUCAAUAAAUCACUUUGUUAUUUGUUUAUUGAUGAACAAAAUAGAUUAGACUUCUUAUAAAAAAAAUUAUAUGUGUAAACUUUCUUCAUUGAGGAAAAAAAAGGUAGUUUCCUAUGAACUCUAUCUCAUAUCAAAA